ACCCGCUGAACUUAAGCAUAUCAAUAAGCGGAGGAAAAGAAACCAACAGGGAUUGCCUCAGUAACGGCGAGUGAAGCGGCAAGAGCUCAAAUUUGAAAUCUGGCGCAAGCCCGAGUUGUAAUUUGAAGAGGAUGCCUCGGCUGGGGUCACGGCUUAAGUUCCUUGGAACAGGACGUCUAAGAGGGUGAGAAUCCCGUACGGCCGCCGACCCGCGCCAUGUGUGGCUCCUUCGAAGAGUCGAGUUGUUUGGGAAUGCAGCUCAAAAUGGGUGGUAAAUUUCAUCUAAAGCUAAAUAUUGGCGAGAGACCGAUAGCGCACAAGUAGAGUGAUCGAAAGAUGAAAAGCACUUUGAAAAGAGAGUUAAACAGUACGUGAAAUUGUUGAAAGGGAAGCGCUUGCGAUCAGACUCGCUGGCGGUUGAUCAACGUUCCUUCUGGUUCGUGCACUCUUCCGUCUGCGGGCCAGCAUCGGUUGGGACGGCGGGACAAAGGCGCCGGGAAUGUGGCUCCUCGGAGUGUUAUAGCCCGGCGCGCAAUGCCGCCUGCCCCGAUCGAGGUCCGCGCUUCGGCUAGGAUGCUGGCUUAAUGUUCGUAAGCGACCCGUCUUGAAACACGG
rnacentral:rRNA from 1 species